AAUCCUUCGGGAGUUGUAAUUUGAAGGUGAAGGGACCGCGGUAGAUGAUGAUUAAAGUCCCUUGGAACAGGGCGCCUUAGAGGGUGAGAGCCCCGUACAGUCAUCCAUCUUCCUCUUAUGUUCUUUCUCCAAAGAGUCGAGUUGUUUGGGAAUGCAGCUCAAAGUGGGUGGUAAAUUCCAUCUAAAGCUAAAUACCGGCGAGAGACCGAUAGCGAACAAGUACCGUGAGGGAAAGAUGAAAAGCACUUUGAAAAGAGAGUGAAACAGUACGUGAAAUUGUUGAAAGGGAAGGGCUUGCAAGCAGACACAACCCUCGUGGUUGGGCCAGCAUCGGUUGCUAGGGGUGGAUAAGGCGGCGGGAAUGUAGCUUCCUCGGAAGUAUUAUAUCCCGCUGAGAUACACCCACCGGCGACCGAGGCCUGCGAUUCUAAAUCAAGGAUGC
rnacentral:rRNA from 1 species